AGCAGUAUGGUGUAAUGCUGCACACAGGAUUCUACUGAGGGGUCAUCUGAUCAGGUUAAUUCCGAGGUCCUUGUUCGAAUCAAGGUACUGCGC